rnacentral:misc_RNA from 1 species
UCUCCGUAGGUGAACCUGCGGAGGGAUCAUUACAGAGUUCAUGCCCUACCGGGUAGAUCUCCCACCCUAUGUUAUUAUUACUUUGUUGCUUUGGCGGGCCGUUAGGCUCCGGCCCGACUACCGGCCCCGGCUGGUAAGCGCCCGCCAGAGGACCCAAAACCCUGAAUAUUAGUGUCGUCUGAGUACUAUAUAAUAGUUAAACUUUCGACAACGGAUCUCUUGGUUCUG